rnacentral:rRNA from 1 species
UAGCGGAGGAAAAGAAACCAACAGGGAUUGCCCCAGUAACGGCGAGUGAAGCGGCAACAGCUCAAAUUUGAAAUCUGGCCCCUAGGGCCCGAGUUGUAAUUUGCAGAGGAUGCUUUUGGCGAGGUGCCUUCCGAGUUCCCUGGAACGGGACGCCAUAGAGGGUGAGAGCCCCGUCUGGUUGGAUGCCGAGCCUCUGUAAAGCUCCUUCGACGAGUCGAGUAGUUUGGGAAUGCUGCUCUAAAUGGGAGGUAUAUGUCUUCUAAAGCUAAAUACCGGCCAGAGACCGAUAGCGCACAAGUAGAGUGAUCGAAAGAUGAAAAGCACUUUGAAAAGAGGGUUAAAUAGUACGUGAAAUUGUUGAAAGGGAAGCACUUAUGACCAGACUUGGACCCGGUGAAUCAUCCAGCGUUCUCGCUGGUGCACUUUGCCGGGCUCAGGCCAGCAUCAGUUUGCCCCGGGGGAUAAAGGCUUUGGGAAUGUGGCUCCCUCGGGAGUGUUAUAGCCCAUUGCACAAUACCCUGGGGCGGACUGAGGUUCGCGCAUCUGCAAGGAUGCUGGCGUAAUGGUCAUCAGUGACCCGUCUUGAAACACGGACC